rnacentral:rRNA from 1 species
GACGAACGCUGGCGGCGUGCCUAAUACAUGCAAGUUGAGCGAUGAAGAUUGGUGCUUGCACCAAUUUGAAGAGCAGCGAACGGGUGAGUAACGCGUGGGGAAUCUGCCUUUGAGCGGGGGACAACAUUUGGAAACGAAUGCUAAUACCGCAUAACAACUUUAAACAUAAGUUUUAAGUUUGAAAGAUGCAAUUGCACCACUCAAAGAUGAUCCCGCGUUGUAUUAGCUAGUUGGUGAGGUAAAGGCUCACCAAGGCGAUGAUACAUAGCCGACCUGAGAGGGUGAUCGGCCACAUUGGGACUGAGACACGGCCCAAACUCCUACGGGAGGCAGCAGUAGGGAAUCUUCGGCCAUGGACGAAAGUCUGACCGAGCAACGCCGCGUGAGUGAAGAAGGUUUUCGGAUCGUAAAACUCUGUUGGUAGAGAAGAACGUUGGUGAGAGUGGAAAGCUCAUCAAGUGACGGUAACUACCCAGAAAGGGACGGCUAACUACGUG